GUGUGAUGAUGAUGUGGUAUCGAGUAUUAGGGACGUGGAGAAAAUGAAAUUAAGCACCUGAGCGCUUCAUCAGAGGUCCUUGAGAUACAAGGCAAACGAGGAAAGUAGGCUUUUUAAUUAUAUGGUCUACCACCAGAAGCAAUCAAUCUGAUUGGACCGUAAGAAUCUUCAACCACAGUAGGUAAUGGUUUUUUCAAAUACAUAUACUAACCAGCUAUAGCUUUACAUCAAUAAAUUCAGGACAGUGAUCGAAAUGUUGUCCCAGUUCAUACACAUGCAUUUGGUUUCUUUAAUCGGGCAUUGCAGUGAGAACAAUAAGAGGACUAUUGUGCAUGACUUGGAUCGCCCAAGGUUGAGCUGGAGACAGAAGCUUGAGAUAUGUCUUGGUGCAGCUAGAGGCCUGCACUAUAUCCAUACAGAUUCCGCAAGAGGUAUCAUCCACCGCGAUAUGAAGUAUGAUAACAUUCUCUUCGAUGAGAAUUUCAUGGACAAAGUUUCAGAAUUUGGAUUGUUUAAGACGUCCAGAUCUUGACCAGACACGUGUGAGUAUGACGGUAUAGGAAGAUUCAUUAUCUUGAUCCAGACCAGUACAAGAUAACAAUUGACUGGGAAGUCUGAUGUUUACUCUUUUGGGUAAUGCUUGAAGUACUUGAGGAAGACCAGAUCCAUCUAUUCCAAAAGAAGAGUCUUUAAGUUAUUGUAGUAUUGUUAGUUCAUGAGGGAGGAAAGCCCGCAUUUCUUUUUUAUACCCAUUGCAUACAGAUUAUUGUUAUACUUUCUAGAUAUUUAUUUUCAAAUAGUCUCUUUUGUGUGUUUGUGUAAAAGCUUAAAGCAACUAUGUCUAGGUAUAUAAACGAGAAUCGAAAACCAAACCGGAAUUGAAUCAAAAAAUCAAAUCAGAAAAUUUAAAUUUCAUUUCAUAUGCUUAAAAUAUUAAUUACAUUAAGUUUAUAAAUUACCAAAUAUUCUAAAAAUAUUACAUAUAAAUCAAACUACUCGAAAAAAAUCAAAUAUUUUUUAUCCAAAGUAACUAAAAUAUCUGAAUAACCCAAAAGAAUGUAGAAUAUUUUUUAAUUAUCUGAUAUUUUAUCUGAAAAAUACAAAGAUCUCCAAUUUCCCGAUUUAUCUAGAAUUAUCCGAAAAAACAAACAAACCAGAACCAAAAUGGACCCAAAAUUUAUUAUUCAGUUUCUACUAUUGUUAUCCAAACUGGAACAAAAACCAAAAUAGCGAAAGUGAAAUUCAUAAAUAAUUGAACGGUAACCUAUAUCUUUAGAACCGGAAAACCAACAAAAACCAUAAUCGAACCGAAAACCAAAUGGUAUAGAGGCAACCAAAGUGUUUCAUGUUGUGUUUAGACAAUGAACAAUGAAACUGACUAUUUAUGAAUUUCAAUUUGUCUGUUAAUGUUUUUGUUCCAGUUGGACAACAAUAGUAGAAACUGACUAAUAAAUAUUGGGUCCACUUUGGUUCUGGUUUGGUUUGUUUUAAAACAUCAUUUUGUUGUUAAAUAAUAUAGAUUAAUUGUUAUUUGUGAAAUUAUUGAAACUAUUUAUAUAUUACAUUAAAAUAUAACAUUUUAUAAUUUUAUUACAUUACAUUAUAUUUUCAAUUGAUUUAGCUUGGAAGUGGAUUAAUUUAUAAUCGGGAGACGAUAAUUAAUUGUAAUAGUAUUAUAAUUAUACUCUUAGAAUUUUUUUUAAAAAUGUUAUUCUUACUUUAGAUUUUCUUCAACUAUAUCAAAGUGAAAUAGAAAUAAAAUAGAAAUAUAAAUCAUUACAUUUUCUUAAUUUUUUAAUUUCAUAAUUUUGUAAUCUAUAACCAAAAAAUGGUAGAGGUCUUUUCAACUCAAAC